GACGAACGCUGGCGGCGUGCUUAACACAUGCAAGUCAAGGGGGCCCAGCAAUGGGCAACCGGCGAACGGGUGCGUAACACGUGAGCAACCUACCGAACUGUGGGGGACAGCCGGCCUAACGGCCGAGUAAUACCGCAUACGCUCUCAGUGAGGCAUUUCAUUGAGAGGAAACCUACGGGACAGAUCGAGGGGCUCGCGGCCUAUCAGCUAGUUGGCGAGGUAACGGCUCACCAAGGCAACGACGGGUAGCUGGUCUGAGAGGAUGGCCAGCCACAUUGGGACUGAGAUACGGCCCAGACUCCUACGGGAGGCAGCAGUGGGGAAUCUUGCGCAAUGGCCUAACGGCUGACGCAGCGACGCCGCGUGUGGGAUGAAGCUCUUCGGAGUGUAAACCACUGUUGCCCGGGACGAAUAGCUCGAUUAAUCGAGCCUGACAGUACCGGGUGAGGAAGCACCGGCUAACUCCGUGCCAGCAGCCGCGGUAAUACGGGGGGUGCGAGCGUUGUCCGGAAUCACUGGGCGUAAAGGGCGCGUAGGUGGUUUGAUAAGGGUGUGGUGAAAGUCCGGGGCUCAACCCCGGAUCUGCCGUGCCGACUGUCAAACUCGAGGACUGUAGAGGCAGACGGAAUUCCGGGUGUAGCGGUGGAAUGCGUAGAGAUCCGGAGGAAGACCGGUGGCGAAGGCGGUCUGCUGGGCAGUUUCUGACACUGAGGCGCGACAGCGUGGGGAGCAAACAGG
rnacentral:rRNA from 1 species